GAGUUUGAUCGUGGCUCAGGAUGAACGCUGGCGGCGUGCCUAACACAUGCAAGUCGAACGAAGCAUAAGGAGCGGAAGUUUUCGGAUGGAAGCAACUUAUGACUGAGUGGCGGACGGGUGAGUAACGCGUGGGUAACCUGCCCCCACACAGGGGGACAACAGCUGGAAACGGCUGCUAAUACCGCAUAAGCGCACAAGGGCUGCAUGGCCUGGUGUGAAAAGCUGAGGCGGUGUGGGAUGGACCCGCGUCCGAUUAGGUAGUUGGCAGGGUAGAGGCCUACCAAGCCUGCGAUCGGUAGCCGGCCUGAGAGGGUGGACGGCCACAUUGGGACUGAGACACGGCCCAAACUCCUACGGGAGGCAGCAGUGGGGGAUAUUGCACAAUGGGCGCAAGCCUGAUGCAGCGACGCCGCGUGGGUGAAGAAGUACCUCGGUACGUAAAGCCCUAUCAGCAGGGAAGAAAAUGACGGUACUUGACUAAGAAGCUCCGGCUAAAUACGUGCCAGCAGCCG
rnacentral:rRNA from 1 species